CAGGCUCGCUGGGUGGGAAGGUGUACACCGCGCCACCAUCAGAGCUGCCCACUGCCCAGCCCUGGCGCUGGCUGCCCGCCCAGCAGGCUCCCCAGGUAGCCUGUGGCCCCAGCCCCCCAGAAAGCAGGUGCCGCCCAGCUCCCCCUCACCUUCCCCAGCAGCACGGGGGAGGCAGCCAGCCGGCCCUCCUGCCCGGCGUGGGCGUGUGCACAUAAAGGGGCCGGAGCGGCUCGGGACAGUGACCUCUGAGCCCGGCCUCCUCUUUUUCAGGGGAGCAGCUGCAGAGCUAGGACUUCCAGCUGCCUCGGGAGCCUCCUGGAGGGGGGGGGCGACACUCACCUUUCCCUAGAAGCUGGACUUGGAUUUGGAAGCAGGUGGACCUUUUGACGAGCAGCGCUUCUGGAACUAAUUUCUCUCUCUCUCUCUCUCUAACUAAUCUCUCUCUCUCUCUCUCUCUCUCACACACACACACAGCCUGGCUGAUUUUACAGUCAAUCUUUCAAAGUGCAAUUUGUCUAGGAAAAGCCAAUGCGAGCCCGUGCGCAGCCAAUGGCGGCCUGGCUGCGGCGGCUCAGCCAGUGUGGGGCCGUAUUCUAAUGGGCCCGAUCUUUAUCAGGGAAACUGUGCCUUCUCUGGGCGGAAAACUUCUCAUGGAGGGCCCCCAGACCCAGAGGCAGAACGGGGGUCUGAGCUGAGGUGUGGGAGCCCCCCUGGCCAGGCCAGGGCAGGGCGGGGAGCGGAGGCCUUGGGCGGCUCCCACCUGCCGGGAGCACCUGACUUCCGAGCAGCUGACCCGCAGGUCCCCGGCCUGGGCAGCCGCAUACCGCGGGGGGGACAGGCGGUCGUGACCCUGCCAUCCUGCCAUGAGGUUCUGGGCCAGGGCGUGGGGUCUCGGGCUUUAGGGGCCUGGGCCGGGGCCUCUCACCUUCCGUCCCCCUGACCCGGGGCCUCUCACCUUCCGUCCCCCUGACCCGGGGAUCAUGGAGUCCAACCUGCAGGGGACCUUCCUGCUGAACAACACACCACUGGCUCAGUUCUCGGAGAUGAAGGCCCCGGUGUGCCAGUACUCCGUGCAGAACUCGUUCUACAAGCUCAGCCCCGCCGGGCUGGGCCCCCAGCUGGCCGCCGGGACCCCCCACGGGAUCACAGACAUCCUGAGCAGGCCUGUGGCCACCCCGAACAGCAGCCUCCUCUCCAGCUACCCCCACGUGGCUGCCGGCUUCGGCGGACUCGGCUCCCAGGGGGUCUACUACGGCCCCCAGGUGGGGAAUUUUUCCAAGGCUGGGAACGAGUUCCCCACCCGGACCCGGAACUGCUGGGCGGACCCGGGCCAGGACUGGCGCGCCGGGCGGCAGUGCAGCAACAGUGAGUACCGGGCAGCCCCUGGGCCACCACGCACAAGCACGCCCGCGCCGGGCGCAGGGGCCGGGAGGGGGCCCUGCCCUUGGCCGCCAUCAGACAGCCCCGCUCAGACACCUGCACUCACGUCCGCCAUGCGGCGCGGGGUGGAACUCCACCCUGCCCCCAUUCCUGCCCAGCUGUGCUUGGACGCAGGUGCCACCUCGGCUGCCCUCAUGGGGCACUUGGGCGCCCACAGCUGUCCUGUGCAGGCCCAGCCGGCGGCUGACCUCACUGCUCCUGCCCGAGCCCGGGCGCCACUCCUCCACCCGGAGCCGGCCAAUGCUUCCUUCCUGUGAGGAAACCUGGCCGGCCUCCGCUUCCCAAAGAGCCCUGGCCCCGUCCAGAGAGGCAGGGCACACCCAGCCCCUUCCAGGUCCCGCCUGCCAGCCAGGGGUCUGGAGGAGGUGGCGGGAUGUGCACAGACAGCCCCAGACCCCCUGGGCGACAGCAUCCACAAGAAGAAGCACAC